CGCUCCAGAGGUCCCGGGACCACAACCUGACAUCCUGGGUGUGGAGGGGCUGGCCUGAAGGAGGGGCAGCCUGCGGUCCGGCAAGGCUUUCCAGGGGAGGGCUUUUUCCGAGCUGGGCCUUGACGUUUGAAUAGGAGUCCAGCAAGGAGACACAGAGAGGGCGUUGACAGAGGGGGUGACGGGAGAGCUGCAAACAUCUGAGGUGAUGGCGCACUUCGGAAACAGUCUGCGGGAACCUCAGUGGGGAGAUCUGGGCCCAACGCCAUUUCAUUCCGGCCAGCACCCCGGAGAGCCCCUGGAGGCCCCAGAUGAGAAAGAACCCAGUGGGUCUUGCUGGACAAGUGGCUGCGGGGAAGCAUCAGGCAAGAGGAAUGUGCUUAGGUACCCAGGGCGCCGCUGCAGCCUCCUGGGGACCCUGUCAGUGAGGACGUGUCUCCCCCCUUUUCCAGAGGACAGCGAGGCUAGAGGGUCCGCAGGCGCCCCGCCUGGUGCACUCCUGCACACGAUCACCUGGCACCCGGGUGGAGCAGUCCCUUCUGCACACUCACCUGAGGGACCCUCCUACAGGCUCCACCCCUUGUGGCCUUCAGCCCCUGAACUGGGGUCAGAUCCCAGCAUGCCCCAGGGCUGAAGAGCAACGUUGACCUUGGAGGAAAUAGCUUCCACUCGAAAAGGAAGUCAAAUGCUGCUGAUUUCCAUCGGUGGGAAACCAGGUGGAUGACGCCACCGCCUUGGGCCGGAUUUACAGGAAUGAAGUCGGCGGGCCAUGCACAGAAGCAUCACUCGAACUAGGUGACAGGAAAACCCGAAGUCUGGGCACAGAACAGUGAGCUUCUAGGUUUGAAACAUGUAACCGGCUGCAUUCAAAGAGAAAUGCGUGUGUUACUGCCUCACAGAUUGUUCUUUCAAUUUGUUGACAACCCUAAUAAAUUAUAAAGUUUCCUUUA